rnacentral:rRNA from 1 species
GACGAACGCUGGCGGCGUGCUUAACACAUGCAAGUCGAACGGUGAAGGGACCAGCUUGCUGGUUCUGGAUGAGUGGCGAACGGGUGAGUAACACGUGAGUAACCUGCCCCCUUCUUCUGGAUAACCGCAUGAAAGUGUGGCUAAUACGGGAUAUUCUGGGUCUGUCGCAUGGCGGGCCCGGGAAAGAUAUUGCUUCGGUGGGGGAUGGGCUCGCGGCCUAUCAGCUUGUUGGUGGGGUGAUGGCCUACCAAGGCGGUGACGGGUAGCCGGCCUGAGAGGGUGGACGGUCACACUGGGACUGAGACACGGCCCAGACUCCUACGGGAGGCAGCAGUGGGGAAUAUUGCACAAUGGGCGCAGGCCUGAUGCAGCGACGCCGCGUGAGGGAUGGAGGCCUUCGGGUUGUAAACCUCUUUCGCCAGUGAAGCAGGCCUGCUCCUUGUGGGUGGGUUGACGGUAGCUGGAUAAGAAGCGCCGGCUAACUACGUG